rnacentral:lncRNA from 1 species
AAAAAAAAGAAUCCCAGUACUUAGAAGGCAGAGGCAGGCGGAUUUCUGAGUUCAAGGCCAGCCUGGUCUACAGAGUGAGUUUCAGGACAGCCAGGGCUAUACAGAGAAACCCUGUCUCGAAAACCAAACCCGAACCUUGAAUGUGCUUGGAAAGUGCUUUACAACUAAGCCACAGCCACAGCCUUUGUGGCUAAUUACUUUGCAUAAAAUAUGAUCCACAGCUGGGCAUGCCUACCGUCCCAAAAGGGACUAGGACCUGGCUUGGAAUCCUCCUUUGAAGCACAUUUCCCAGUUACGUCAGAUUUUCCCCGAAGGCUAUCCUGGCUCGAGAGCGUUUUCGAUUUAGGGACUGUCAAAACAAAACCAAAGAAAUAAAACCACUGGCAAGUUUCC